AUGAACCCCACCUCCGCUCUGGGUUUCGACGGUCUUCCGGUGAAAUUCUUCCAGGCCUUCUGGAAGGUAAUUAAACCUGAGACCAUGGCCAUCUUCGAGGAGUUCUAUGUUGGGUCCAUUGACCUCGGGCGCCUCAACUAUGGAAUCAUCUCGCUCAUCCCGAAGGUUCCGGGUGCCUCUGACAUCCGCCAGUUUCGUCCAAUCACGGUCAUCAACGUGAUCUUCCGGAUUCUGGCUAAAGGGUACGCUAAUAGGGUGACCCUCCUCGCUGACCACAUUACCCACCCCAACCAGUCCGCCUUUAUUCAGGGGCGGUAUAUCCUGGAUGGGGUGCUAGUUCUUCAUGAGGUACUCCAUGAGGUCCGAUCUAAACACCUGAAGGCGGUAUUCUUGAAGAUUGAUUUCCAUAAGGCCUAUGACACUGUUAGUUGGCCCUUCCUUCGGGAAGUUUUGCUCCGGAAGGGCUUUGACGACCGCUGGAUUACCAGGGUU
rnacentral:rRNA from 1 species